GACGAACGCUGGCGGCGUGCUUAACACAUGCAAGUCGUACGGUAAGGCCCUUUCUGGGGUACACGAGUGGCGAACGGGUGAGUAACACGCGCGUAACCUGCCCACCACUUUCGGAUAACGCUAGGAAACUGGUGCUAAUACUUGCUAUAUGCUCCUGCUGCCUGGUGGGUGGUGGUAAGCUCCGGGGGUUGUGUAUGGACUCGCGGGCUAUCAGCUUGUUGGUUGGGUAGUGGCCUACCAAGGCGGCGACGGGUAGCCGGCCUGGGAGGGUGACCGGCCACAUUGGGGCUGGGAUACGGCCCAGACUCCUACGGGGGGCAGCAGUGGGGAAUAUUGCACAAUGGGCGCAAGCCUGAUGCAGCAACGCCGCGUGCGGGAUGACGGCCUUCGGGUUGUAAACCGCUUUCAGCAGGGACGAAGCUUUUUGUGACGGUACCUGCAGAAGAAGCACCGGCUAACUACGUG
rnacentral:rRNA from 1 species